ensembl:lncRNA
CCCAAAGAUUCAAAGAAUUGGGAGAUUUCAACAACUUGGUGCCGUGUGACCCGGAUCUUUGGCGUGCUGAGGAGGUGCAGAUUUGGCCUUUGGUGAGAUCGUGGGGCAAGGUGAACAGAGGACCGGUCCAAAUAUAAAAAGGUCUCAGACAGCGGCUCCUCCUCCUUUAGGCGGAGUCCGGUUGCCCCUCCCUGGCUGACCACCUGUGAGCAAUCGUGCCAGCGGUAUAUCAGACCUGCGCUCUCAACCACUCAUCGCCUGAGUAUCUGCUAUUCCCAUCGAUAGCACCCGGAGUGGAGAUCUUGUUCCCCUCGCUCCCGUCCUCCUGGACCUGGGCCGCCAGCUGCUUACACAACGUGGCCUGCCGGCCCACCGCUCACCUGCC